GGGGGGGGGGGGGGGGUGAGCUGCAGGAACAGCCGCUCAGAACCCUUUGCGGGUCAAACUCUAACCGUAAUCCUCAUCUUAACGCUUCCUCUGGGUCGGUCCGGCCCAGAAAAAGGUCCAGGACUCCCGCAGCUAUUUUGAAAAUUACGUGCCAAUAGACACUGAAUUGUUUUCUUUAAAAAAAAGUUACAUAAAGGAAACUUUGAGUCGUCGUGUUUGGGCUUCGUGUUUACUACUCCGAUCACAACACAGAAACGGCAUGUGCGCAUGCGCAGUUUGUGACGUUUGAAUUCCGCGACCAAGCAUCGCGUUCGACGGCGAUGGCGAGCGGCAAAAAGAGCGCUCUUCUUUCGUCUUUAGCGGAUUAUGGAGACGAUUCAGAACCGGACUCUGACCCAGAACCAGAGGAGUCGGAGGUCCAUGGAGGAGGAAGCCUCGUUUUAUACGGUUAUGGGGAGGAGGACCUGAACCGAACCGAAGAUCCCGGAAACAGAGAGUCUGAAGAUGAAGGCAUCAAGGAAAGCAACUCGGAAAUGGACGGAUCAGACGAGGGGAGGGACCCCGAUGAUUUUGAGAUCUCUGAGAAGAACAACAUGGAUCCAGGUGAGCUUGUUGCUCUGUUCUCAGAGAGGGUGAGGAACAUGUCACCUGACGAGAUCAGGAUCCCCUCCGAGCCUCCGGGACGCUGCUCCAGCCAGCUGCAGGAGAAGAUCCACAAACUGUAUGAGAGGAAGCUCCAUGGAGACUUUGACACCAACAGCCACAUCCAGAAGAAGAAGGAGUUCAGAAACCCCAGCAUCUACGAGAAGCUGAUCCAGUUCUGUGCUAUAGACGAGCUGGGCAUGAACUACCCCAAAGACGUGUUUGACCCCCACGGCUGGUCAGAGGACUCCUACUACGAAGCUCUGGCCAAAGCCCAGAAGGUGGAGAUGGACAAGCUGGAGAAAGCCAAGAAGGAGCGCACCAAGGUGAGGCUGGAUUCCUGCUGCCUGCCAGGGGCAAGUCUGCACCGGCUGCAGCUCAUCCCUGUCAGCGUUCUGCACCAGAACCACCUUUACCGGCCAGAACCCGGCCCAGACAACGCCAGGAGAAACUGAAGCUCCUGCUUCCUUCUCAGCUGUGUUUAAUCGAGUUCGUCACAGGAACCAAGAAGGGAACCAACCCGUCCAGCACAGCAGCCUCCACCACCAGCAGCGGCAGCAGCGGCAGCACCGCCACAGACGCCCAGAAGAGGAAGAGCAAAUGGGACUCCGCCAUCCCCGUCACCUUGGCCCAGCCCACCCUGAUCACCACCUCUGGGACCCUGCCCGCCGUGGUUUCCGUGACGACCACAGCCAGCGGCACCAAGACCACCGUCAUCUCUGCGGUGGGGACCAUCCUGAAGAAAGCCAAGCAGUGAGGAGGAGGAGCAGCUUCAGGUUCUUCGGCUUUUCCUCAGACCAGGUCAGGUCCAGAGAGGAGCUUCCUGUGCUCGGACUCUGUGGAACCGUCCAGAGACUCUUUUUCACAUUUUUGCGUUUGUACAUACGGGAAUAAACGGAUGAGCUGUUGCCUUUUCAGGCGUGUCCUGUGAAUGUUGGCGGGAAGCCACAGCAUGUGUGCGGCAGGUGGAGGCUGCGCUGUCUUCACCUCAAACACGCCGCCCCUCCCAUCAGCCAUUCUGCUUUUCACAUAGGGGGGGGCUGUUCUGUCACGGCAGCAUCUGUUUUUCAUGGAGUUGGUCGUCGGGGUGUAGCGGGCCGCUGAGGAGGGCGCGGCCCCGAUUCCCGACCAUCAGCCGAGUCUUGCCCUGGUUUGGCCCCGUCGGUCGUGUUCUUGGCUCUGAGUUGGAAAACCUUCUGCUUGUAUCUCAACGUGUUUUUACAGAGCCAGGAAUGCUGGAGGAGACGAAAACAUCAGGUUGGCUGUGGGGUCUACAGCUCAUGACUUUAAACCCUCCCUUUAUUUCUAGACGCAGGUCAAUUAAACACAAAGAAAAAACGUUUUCUGGUUGGAAUGAAAUGAACUUUCUCUUAAAAUCCUGACGUCGUCAUGUAAACAACAAACAAACGUGAACUUUCAGCAACAUGUCUGAACCAAUGAUGGACGUGAUGAACCUUCUGUUCACAGAACAGGAAGUGACAUCACCGUUGUCAUCUAAAAAUGUUUGCGUUUCAAUGUAUGUACAGAAUAAAUCAAUAAAAACCUUUUCUUUAGUUUCAUAAAGAAAAGGUUAGCUGUAUUCUGAAAUCGAGAGAUGUUUGUUAAAGGACCAUAAAUAAACUUUAAAAUAACUGUCA